AUGAACGCUAGCGACAGGCCUAACACAUGCAAGUCGAGGGGCAGCACAAGGAGCAAUCUGAGGUGGCGACCGGCGCACGGGUGAGUAACACGUAUGCAACCUGCCUGUAAGCGGGGAAUAACCCGUUGAAAGGCGGACUAAUACCGCAUAAUACUAAAUUACUGCAUGGUAAUUUAUUUAAACAUUUAUGGCUUACAGAUGGGCAUGCGCAUGAUUAGCUAGUUGGAGAGGUAACGGCUCCCCAAGGCAACGAUCAUUAGGGGUUCUGAGAGGAAGGUCCCCCACACUGGUACUGAGACACGGACCAGACUCCUACGGGAGGCAGCAGUGAGGAAUAUUGGUCAAUGGACGAGAGUCUGAACCAGCCAAGUCGCGUGCAGGAAGAAUGUUCCCUAUGGAUUGUAAACUGCUUUUGCAGGGGAAUAAAGUGCAUCACGUGUGAUGUUUUGUAUGUACUCUGCGAAUAAGGAUCGGCUAACUCCGUGCCAGCCGCCGC
rnacentral:rRNA from 1 species